CACGUAGGCACCAAGCGUUGUCCGGAAUUACUGGGCGUAAAGUGUGCGCAGGCGGCCGCGCAAGUCGAGUGUGAAAUCCCCGAGCUUAACUUGGGAAUUGCGCUCGAAACUACGUGGCUGGAGUGUGGCAGAGGAAGGUGGAAUUCCACGUGUAGCGGUGAAAUGCGUAGAUAUGUGGAGGAACACCGAUGGCGAAGGCAGCCUUCUGGGCCAACACUGACGCUCAUGCACGAAAGCGUGGGGAGCAAACAGG
rnacentral:rRNA from 1 species